rnacentral:lncRNA from 10 species
UUGUAAUCCCCAUAAUCUCUACGUUUCAAGAGAGGGACCUGGUGGGAGGUGACUGGAUCCUGGGGGCGGUUUCCCCUGUGCUGUUCUCAUGAUAGUGAGUGAGUUCUUAUGAGAUUUGAUGGGUUUAUAAAAGUCCGCCAUUUCCCCUGUUGGCACUCUUUCUCUCUCCUGCUGCCCUGUGAAGAGGUGCCUUCUGCCAUGAUUGUAAGUUUCCUGAGGACUCCCCAGCCAUGCGAAUCUAAAGAGUGUAUAGGAGACUUGGAUGCGAACUGCCAUUAUUGGGCUCACACCAAAGGACGACUGCGGGAGGCCAGUUAUGGCACCCUAAAAUAUACAUUUGAAGCUUAUUUACAGCACAUUAUAUUGAGAAACUACAGACACAGGAGUAGCUCUGAAAAGCUGUCCUUUCACAAAGAGAAUGAACUUGUGUAAAGAAAAUCUAGAUCAGCCAAAGAACCUAGGAGGUUGGAGGAAAGAAAUUUUUCUCUUGCCUACACCAUCAUCCUCUAGAAUUGAUUCCACUCACGAAGACUGAAAUGGAUCCAUGCUUGGAGAAAUUAAUUGUGUGAGAGAAGUUGUAACGAGCAGAGUUUGCCAGCUGACCAUAACAAUAGAAUAGAAUCUGCUCUGAAAAUAAAUGUUGCUAUCACCCACUGCUCAUCACUAUUCAGAAUUCCUUUCAUCAUGGAAACAUCGAUUUACACUAAACAAUAUAGGAAUGAAAAUAUUGUACAUUACUGAUACAGUUAAAAGAGAUGUCUGCAGACUAGCUGUG